UUGGGGGAGAAUUAAGGUCACUGGAGCUCAUGCCCCAGCCUGAGCUCAAAGCAAAUGCAGCGCUGUCAGUAACGCAGAAAACAGAUGUGUGGAUGUGUGGAUACACCCCUGUGUGUAUGCACAAGACUGUCCAGUCCAAUUCCCCUGCAGUGCUAAUGCAGGCAGACUCCG
rnacentral:lncRNA from 12 species